UUAUUUGCAUAUAAUACAUAU
rnacentral:piRNA from 1 species